GCGAGUACAUCUAAGAAUAGCUUGAUUCACGUUUGAAAACAAUGAUCAAAUGAAAUAUUUUAUUGAAACAAUUGAAAACAAAGCGAUCACGAACCAAUUGGAAAAAUACAUGAGCAAAGCAUUAAGUAUUACCGACUGAACAAUCGGUUAGAAGUUAUUGGCUUAGAAAGCAAAGAAGCUUGAUCUCCAAGUGCGCCAGUAAAAGAGCUUUUUUUAGCCUGAAUUUGGCUCGGUUCUUAGACAUAGACAGAGCAAGAGAGAAAGAGAAAGAGAAUCCUACCUGUGGGUGAAAAAGAGAAGCUUCGAAACUACUAUAAAACGCGAUUGUUCUACCUGAGAACAAUGAGCAGCUUUUGAAGAGAACAAAAAAUGAUUGUUUCGCGAUAAGAAAGAUUUAAAAAAAAAAAAAAACAUAUCAACACGACACGUGUAGGAAGAUCUGGUUGGAAAAUUGUAUGUACAAAAAUACUUUUGUCAAGAACGACGGUCAGUGAACGCGAGUACAAAGAAGGAUUAAAGAAAGACACAGAGUUAGUCAC